AGAAUAACAUCUAUGUCAUUACUUUUAAAGCAUUUGCAAGACAGAAAACUUUUAUCAGAAGAUGCUGCAGAAAUGUUACAAGUAAGUUGUACAAAUAUCUGUCAUACACAUACAUGAUAUAAUGAAUGAAUUACAAAGAAAUAAAUUUUGUGUAUGGAAAGCAUAUAGAUUGAUAUAUGAAUGUUUCAAUGACGGAAAAAGAAAUAAUAAAGAGACACUUGAGUA